GACGUAGGGCGCGAGCGUUGUCCGGAUUUAUUGGGCGUAAAGAGCUCGUAGGCGGCUUGUCGCGUCGACUGUGAAAACCCGUGGCUCAACCAUGUGGUCUGCAGUCGAUACGGGCAGGCUAGAAUUCGGUAGGGGAGACUGGAAUUCCUGGUGUAGCGGUGAAAUGCGCAGAUAUUGGGAGGAACACCAGUGGCGAAGGCGGCUCACUGGACCGGUACUGACGCUGAUGCGCGAAAGCGUGGGGAGCAAACAGG
rnacentral:rRNA from 1 species